rnacentral:rRNA from 1 species
UACGGAGGGUGCUAGCGUUGUUCGGAAUCACUGGGCGUAAAGCGCGUGUAGGCGGCCCAUUAAGUCUGAUGUGAAAGCCCGGGGCUCACCCCCGGAAGUGCAUUGGAAACUGAUGGGCUCGAGUCCCGGAGAGGAGGGUGGAAUUCCUGGUGUAGCGGUGAAAUGCGUAGAUAUCAGGAGGAACACCGGUGGCGAAGGCGGCCCUCUGGACGGUGACUGACGCUGAGACGCGAAAGCGUGGGGAG